UUUAAGUGCAGCCAUAUGUUUCCGCGCCUAACUUUGAUCGUCCGUCAUAUUUAAAUUUUUUUUCAUAAGUACUAUUUUUAUUAUUAUGAGAUGAUAAAAUAUGAAUAGUACUUUAUACGUAACUAAUAUUUUUAAUUUUUUUAAAAAAAUUCAAAUAAGAUGGACGGUCAAAGUUAUGCACGGAAAAUCAUGGUUGCAUCUAAA
rfam:Oryza rufipogon genomic scaffold, chr03